CUUGGUCAUUUAGAGGAAGUAAAAGUCGUAACAAGGUUUCCGUAGAACAAGUCCUUCCGUGGGUAACACUUGCUGAAGCCUUAGCAGCCUGAAAGGGUGCCCCUUGACGACUAUAAACAAACAGAGGGUCUGAAAUGCUAGUCCUCUUUCCCUGGGAAAGAGGGCAACACUGUCAAAUUGCGGGAAACCCCUAAAGACCUUGACACCAAGCGCCUACUGGAAACAGAUGCGUGGCCGAGUUAAUAGCCCUGGGUAUGGUAAAAGUUCAAGGUAUGAACCCAAGUUUUGGGUGAAAUGGGCAAUCUGCAGCCAAAUCCUAAGGCUUUCCUAGCUAUGGAUGCUGUUCACAGGCCAAAUGGCAGUGGGUGAAAGGGAAAAAAAAAACCUUUUGCUUAAGAUAUGGUCGGUCCCUUCGUGAAAGCUUGGGGGUAAGUUUACUCAACAAAACCGUUCCGUAGGUGAACCUGCGGAAGGAUCAUUACUGAGUUAGGGUCUUCCAUAGCCCAACCUCCAACCCCUUGUAUACACUAUUGCGUUUUAUUGUUGCUUCGGUGGGCCUAAAGUGCCUACCGAAGCCCAACAAAAAUCCUAGUAACGAUGUUGUCUGAGUUGAUCAAAGCAAUAAUUAAAACUUUCAACAACGGAUCUCUUGGUUCCCGCAUCGAUGAAGAACGCAGCGAAAUGCGAUAAGUAAUGUGAAUUGCAGAAUUCAGUGAAUCAUCGAAUCUUUGAACGCACCUUGCGCCCCUUGGUAUUCCGAGGGGCAUGCCUGUUUGAGUGUCUUGAAAUCAUCAAACCUAACCGGUCUUGUUGCCGGCGCGGUUUGGACUUGGGGGUUCUUUGCUGCCGCUCGCGGUGGCUCCCCUUAAAUGUAUCGGUCGGGCUUUCGUGCGGCUCUGUCCCUUGGCGUUGUAUUACCCUUGUCGCUGGAUGGCUCGCGAUUCUGCGCCCCUCCCUGACCUGCCUCUGGAGCGGCGGUCUCUAACAUUUUGUGAUCUGACCUCAAAUCAGGUAGGGCUACCCGCUGAACUUAAGCAUAUCAAUAAGCGGAGGA
rnacentral:rRNA from 1 species